CCCAAUCCCCGUGGUGAAAUUUGUGUCAGGGGUCCCAUUGUUUUUCGAGGUUAUCACAAAUAUGAAACUCAGACGAGAGAAGUCAUUGAUGAAGAUGGAUGGCUUCAUACCGGAGAUAUUGGAACGUGGUUACCUGGUGGUAGACUAAAAAUUAUUGACAGGAAGAAAAAUAUAUUUAAGUUGGCUCAAGGCGAGUAUAUUGCUCCUGAGAAGAUUGAAAAUGUAUAUGCCAAAUGCAAGUUUGUGGCGCAAUACUUUGUAUACGGU